GAAAACGCUGGCGGUCUGCUUAACACAUGCAAGGUCGAACGGGAAACCCUUCGGGGUUCUAGUGGCGGACGGGUGAGUAACGCGUGAGAAAUCUGCCAAAAGGACUGGGAUAAACAGUUGGGAAACGACUGCUAAUACCAGAUGUGCCGCAAACGUGAAAGGGGUAACCCGCCUUUUUGAAGAGCUCGGCGUCUGAUUAGCUAGUUGGUGGGGGUAAAGGCCUUACCAAGGCGGACGAUCGGUAGCUGGUCUGAGAGGACGAUUCAAACCACACUGGGACUGAGACACGGCCCAGACUCCUACGGGAGGGCAAGCAGUGGGGAAUUUUUCCGCAAUGGGCGAAAAGCCUGACGGAGCAAGAACCGCGUGAGGGAGGAAGGCUCUUGGGUUUGUAAAACCUCUUUUCUCAGGGAAGAAACAAAAUGACGGUUACCUGAGGAAAUCAAGCAUCGGCUAACUCCGUGCCAGCAGCCGCGGUAAAUACGGAGGAUGCAAGCGUUUAUUCCGGAAUCAUUGGGCGUAAAGCGUCCGUAGAUGGUUAUUCAAGUCUGCCGUCAAAAGACUGGGGGCUUAACCCCCAGAAAGGGCGGUGGAAAACUGACUAGCUAGAGUAUGGUAGGGGUAGAGGGAAUUCCCAGUGUAGCGGUGGAAAUGCGUAGAGAUUGGGGAAGAAACACCAGUGGGCGAAAGCGCUCUACUGGGCCCAUAAACUGACAUUGAGGGACGAAAAGCUAGGGGAGCGAAUGGGAUUAGAUACCCCAGUAGUUCCUAGCCGUAAAACGAUGGAUACUAGGUGUUUGCUCGUAUCAAACCCGAGCAGUGCCGUAGCCAAACGCGUUUAAGUAUCCCGCCUGGGGGAGUUACGCCACGCAAAGUGUGAAAACUCAAAGGAAUUGACGGGGGGCCCGCACAAGCGGUGGGAGUAUGUGGUUUAAUUCGAUGCAAACGCGAAGAAACCUUUACCAGGGCUUGAACAUGUUCCGGAAUCUUCUUGAAAGAGAAAGAGUGGCCCUUCGGGAGGCCGGAAACAACAGGUGGUGCAUGGCUGUCGUCAGCUCGUGGUCGUGAGAUGUUUGGGUUAAGUCCCCGCAAACGAGCGGCAAACCCUCGUCCUUAGUUUGCCAGCAUUAAGUUGGGCCACUCUAGGGAGGACUGCCGGUGACAAAAACCGGAGGAAGGUGGGGGAUGGACGUCAAGUCAGGCAUGCCCCCUUACGCCCCUGGGCUACACACGUACUACAAUGCUACGGACAGAGGGGCAAGCUACCUCGCGAGAGGCGGCAAAAUCCCAUAAAACCGUGGCUCAGUUUCAGAUCGCAGGCCUGCAAACUCGCCUGCGUGAAAGGCGGAAAUCGCUAGUAAUCGGCCGGUCAGCAUACGGCGGUGAAUCCGUUUCCCGGGCCUUGUACACACACCGCCCGUCCACACCAUGGGGAAGCUGGCCCACGGCCCGAAGUCGUUUACUCCCAACCGUGAGGAGGAGGGACGCCCGAAGGCAGGGGCUGGUGGACUGGGGUG
rnacentral:rRNA from 1 species